ACAUGCUUGUCUCAGACUAGCCAUGCACGUCUAAGUACAAACUAAAUGAUGGUGAAACUGCAAAUGGCUCAUUACAACGGUUAUGAUGUACCCGGGAGUUCCGAUGGAUAUUUCCAGUAACACUAGAACUAAUACAUGUCCCUGCGUUUAUUAGUUUCGCACAGUCCGUCGCUGAGUCAUGGUAAACAGUUGAUCGACUCGACGUCCCGGAACAGUUUCCGCCCCAUCAGCUUCGAUGGUUGGGUAUUGGCCUACCAUUGCAACAACGGGUAACGAGGAAUUAGGGUUUGAUUUCGGAGAGGGAGCCUGAGAAACGGCUACCACAUCUACGGAUGGCAGCAGGCGCGCAAAUUACCCAAUGCAGACACCGUGAGGUAGUGACGAGAAAUAAUAAAGCGGGACUUCUGUUUCGCUAUUAUAAUGAGGAAUAACCAAAGGUCAUUCCGAUUAGCAACUGAUGGGAAAGUCUGGUGCCAGCAGCCGCGGUAAUACCAGCGUCA
rnacentral:rRNA from 1 species